AUGUCUUUGCUACACGCAAGGCUCGUAAAGUAAUUAUGCUAACACACGAAAUAUUGAACACAUACACUGUAGUCAUAUUCAAUGAGUCGGUUUAAUUCUUCAAGAGCUACUCGGCGUACUCGCUACAAACUACUUAGCACAUUUGACAGCCCACACCUAGCAGGCCCUACAGAGUGAGCACGUACCAUCAGCACUGGACAUAGUGACGAUACAGCGUGACCUCUAAGCCAAACAAACAAACAAAAAUUCCCAUGGCCUGGAAUGCUGUACCUACCUGAUGCAGAGCAAGAGAAGCGGAGAGGGUGGUGCUAGUUUUUGGCAUCGUCUUCAGUUAGAUCUUACACAGAGUUCUUUCAGAAACAAGGUAAAAUGGCGAAGUGUUCUAGUGAAGUAGCAGUACUGGUUGUAUUGUGUCUUUUCCUAGUGGAUCUAACUAAAGGUGAGUCUUGAGAUGAGCUUGAAUAGAGUUCGAAAUCAUUCACAAUAGUUGUUAGGCCAGGACUUUUAACAUAUAAAUACACGGAAUACGUUUUAAAAUAAUAAACAACUAGAUUUACACGUUAGUUCUAAAAAGAAAA
rnacentral:sRNA from 1 species